rnacentral:rRNA from 1 species
GGAGGAAUAUUGGUCAAUGGGCGAGAGCCUGAACCAGCCAAGUAGCGUGCAGGAUGACGGCCCUAUGGGUUGUAAACUGCUUUUAUAAGGGAAUAAAGUGGGGCUCGUGAGCUCUUUUGCAUGUACCUUAUGAAUAAGGACCGGCUAAUUCCGUGCCAGCAGCCGCGGUAAUACGGAAGGUCCGGGCGUUAUCCGGAUUUAUUGGGUUUAAAGGGAGCGUAGGCCGCAGGUUAAGCGUGUUGUGAAAUGUAGGGGCUCAACCUCUGCACUGCAGCGCGAACUGGCUUGCUUGAGUACGCACAACGUGGGCGGAAUUCGUGGUGUAGCGGUGAAAUGCUUAGAUAUCACGAAGAACUCCGAUUGCGAAGGCAGCUCACGGGAGCGCAACUGACGCUGAAGCUCGAAAGUGCGGGUAUCGAACAGGAUUAGAUACCCUGGUAGU